rnacentral:misc_RNA from 1 species
AUUUGUUGAUUGUGAUGAAUCUUGGAACUUUUUGCUCGUCACAAGGAAAGGUUCAUUACAUCUUUGGGAUCUAUUCAACCGGAAGUGUCUCCUUCAAGACUCGUUGGCGUCCCUUAUGAACUCAGAUCCCAAGGCAAAUGCAGGCACAAUCAAAGUGAUAACAGCAAAAUUAUCAAAAUCUGGUUUUCCUCUUGUUGUCCUGGCCACACGGCAUGCAUACCUCUUUGAUAUGAGCCUCAUGUGCUGGCUGAGGGUUGCAGAUGAUUGUUUUCCGGCUUCAAAUUUUUCAAGCUCCUGGAGUUCGGGCUCAUUGCAUGGUGGUGAACUAGCGGCACUGCAGGUGGAUGUUAAGAAGUUCCUG